UUUAUGCCUUUAAUGACUCAUUGUAUAUAUUGAAUGACUUCUAAUGAAAAGGUUGCAUGAGUCUGAACCAUGAAAUAGAAGCUCCCUCUUUGCCCCUGUUUCUUGCACCAAAAACAGAACUUGGUUCUUAAUUAUCUGUGUCAUUUGACAACAUCCCUCUCUUCGUUAGCUUUCUCUGAAGGUUUUGUACCUUUGCAGCUGCCAUUCCAACAAAGACUAAUUUAAGCUUUCAUGUCCUGUUUUAGGUUGAAUUUGCAGCUAUAAGCUCUAACUCUGCAUCCAUUCAUGUUCUACCCUUCACGGUACAGACCUGCUCCUCAGUUGAAGAAAAUACCGUCAACAGUAUUUCUUCAUUUUGUAGGUAUGACAAAUUAGAAACAAAGCGUAUUAUCGAAGUAAAAAUUCAUCAAAACCAACCAUGCUCACGUCUGCAGUAGUCAAUUCUACAACAACAUGCAUGAAGAUUUGAACAUUGAAGACCAUUGAAGCUGGACUAAACACAUUUAGGCUGUUGCUUAAAGCAAUCCUAUUCCUAAUAGAAACUCCAGCUUCUCCCUGGUGGUGAUGUAUAUGCAGUCGUAUUACAGUGCAGCUAACAGUGACUAUGCAGUGCCCAAGCACGAAAUAUGCAAUUUUUGUAGAGGAGAAGGAAAGAAACAUGAACUUUGAGACAGAGCUUUAGACUUUUGUAUGAGUUUGAUUGAAACCACCAUGCCUACAAAUUUACAGCAGCCAUUCUCCUCGUAUAACUAUAACAUCCACUUAUGCAUUUGCAGAAACAUGAUUUCUACUUUCACACAAUCUCAAUUCAUACCUUCCAAAAUAUGGUUGAAUUCAUUGGAGUAAAAGAAGCUUAAGUGCUGAAUGUUCUCUAUCAAAUAUUUUAUUAGUGAGUCUGUUAUAAUGUUUUAUUGUUUGAUUGGAAAUGCUAUAAAGAGAAACUAACCUUCAAAAUUCCUGCCUGUGGUCUAAAGGCGUUUCUCUUACUUUUCUCUUUCCAUUUUCUUAUUUGCCUUUGUUUUUCUUUUGUGUGCCCUCUAAAGCACAUGCAACUUCUUGUUGAGCAAUUCGAUGCUUAAAAAAUAUGGCCCAAAAAUAAACAUAUAUGAAAUAGAGCAUAAAACAGUAA